GACGAACGCUGGCGGCGUGCUUAACACAUGCAAGUCGAACGGUAAGGCCCUUCGGGGUACACGAGUGGCGAACGGGUGAGUAACACGUGGGUGAUCUGCCCUGCACUUCGGGAUAAGCCUGGGAAACUGGGUCUAAUACCGGAUAGGACCACUGCCUGCAUGGGUGGUGGUGGAAAGCUUUUGCGGUGUGGGAUGGGCCCGCGGCCUAUCAGCUUGUUGGUGGGGUGAUGGCCUACCAAGGCGACGACGGGUAGCCGGCCUGAGAGGGUGACCGGCCACACUGGGACUGAGAAACGGCCCAGACUCCGACGGGAGGCAGCAGUGGGGAAUAUUGCACAAUGGGCGCAAGCCUGAUGCAGCGACGCCGCGUGAGGGAUGACGGCCUUCGGGUUGUAAACCUCUUUCAGCACCGACGAAGCGCAAGUGACGGUAGGUGCAGAAGAAGGACCGGCCAACUACGUGCCAGCCGCCGCAGUAA
rnacentral:rRNA from 1 species